UCUAUGUUCCUUGGAACAGGACGUCACAGAGGGUGAGAAUCCCGUGCGAUGAGAUGCCCAAUCCUUUGUAAAGUGCUUUCGAAGAGUCGAGUUGUUUGGGAAUGCAGCUCUAAGUGGGUGGUAAAUUCCAUCUAAAGCUAAAUAUUGGCGAGAGACCGAUAGCGAACAAGUACAGUGAUGGAAAGAUGAAAAGAACUUUGAAAAGAGAGUGAAAAAGUACGUGAAAUUGUUGAAAGGGAAGGGCUUGAGAUCAGACUUGGUGUUUUGUGAUUAUCUUUCCUUCU
rnacentral:rRNA from 12 species